CUACGGGUUGCACCAGUGGGGAAUAUUGCACAAUGGGGGAAACCCUGAUGCAGCAACGCCGCGUGAGUGAUGACGGUCUUCGGAUUGUAAAGCUCUGUCUUCAGGGACGAUAAUGACGGUACCUGAGGAGGAAGCCACGGCUAACUACGUGCCAGCAGCCGCGGUAAUACGUAGGUGGCAAGCGUUGUCCGGAUUUACUGGGCGUAAAGGGAGCGUAGGCGGACUUUUAAGUGGGAUGUGAAAUACCCGGGCUUAACCUGGGUGCUGCAUUCCAAACUGGAAGUCUAGAGUACAGGAGGGGAAAGCGGAAUUCCUAGUGUAGCGGUGAAAUGCGUAGAGAUUAGGAAGAACACCAGUGGCGAAGGCGGCUUUCUGGACUGUAACUGACGCUGAGGCUCGAAAGCGUGGGGAGCGAACAGGAUUAGAUACCCGCGUAGUC
rnacentral:rRNA from 1 species